CGCCAAGAAGCUAUGUACCAGCACUAGCCUUUUAAGCUAGAGAAAGAGGAACACUUAUCCUCCUUAGCGA
rnacentral:tRNA from 1 species